rnacentral:rRNA from 1 species
GACGAACGCUGGCGGCGUGCUUAACACAUGCAAGUCGAACGGAAAGGCCCUGCUUUUGUGGGGUGCUCGAGUGGCGAACGGGUGAGUAACACGUGAGUAACCUGCCCUUGACUUUGGGAUAACUUCAGGAAACUGGGGCUAAUACCGGAUAGGAGCUCCUGCUGCAUGGUGGGGGUUGGAAAGUUUCGGCGGUUGGGGAUGGACUCGCGGCUUAUCAGCUUGUUGGUGAGGUAGUGGCUUACCAAGGCUUUGACGGGUAGCCGGCCUGAGAGGGUGACCGGCCACACUGGAACGGGGACACGGUACAGACUCAGACGGGAGGCAGCAGUAGGGAAUCGUCCGAAAUGGGCGAAAGCCUGACGGAGCAAAGCCGCGUGAGUGAUGAAGGUCGUAGGAUCGGAAAACUCUGGUAUGAGGGAAGAACAAAUGUGUAAGUAACUAUGCACGUCUUGACGGUACCUAAUCAGAAAGCCACGGCUAACUACGUG